UAUAGCCACAAAUAGUAUAAAAACUUGAGGCUCACGACCAGGAGACAUUCUCAAAAUGACUUGCUAGGCAUGCUGUCAGAGUGGUCAUAGAGAAUCCAACGAACCAGCAACUUCACAGCUGAGACCGUCCAAGAGCCAGAGAACUAGCUCUUGCCUGCGGAUCAAGACUUGCUGAUCCAGAGGUCUACAUCGAGAGCCACGGACCAUUAUCAGCAUGCUGGGCCCGACCAUCCUACACAAAGGCAAGAUGAGGACAACCUGAGAGGGAGUGACCAUGAACUGCCUGUAGAUCACCAGGCCUUGUGAGUCUCUCCCUGUCUCAUGGCAGGAUGUUGAUAGGACCAGUCAUGUGCAAUGAAAAGUGUUUUGAUAUUUGAAUGUCACCGCUCUGCGUUGAACCAUGGAAACUGAGUGUUUGGCCAGAGCUGACUAAGAGCAACAGGACAGAGGAGGUGUUGGGGUGUAGAUGGAACCAAACAAUGGUAACAACCUGAGACCACCCACAGGAGUGGAGCCUGCACCCUGAGACCACCCACAGGAGUGGAGGCUGCACCCU